UGUCGGAGUAUGGUACGUCCGCUCCUCCCUGUCUCCUACUUCACAUACAAUGCUAGCUAUACAAUACUCGUAAGAUUUUAGAUUGGAUAUGGGGUCCCAGAUAUGAUUUUGGAUUGGUAGCCAAGGAUUCGUUUUAUCCAAAUCCUUCCUCCAUCUCUAUAAAAGUGCCCCACUCGAAAGCUCAUAUAGUGCUGUAUAACAGUGUAAGCUUCAGCUAACAUAAAGUAAAUUUAUUCUAUCAGGCCUUCCUUAUCAUCAGUUGCUCACAUAAUAUAUGCAGUAGGAGCCAAAACUGUAUUAUUUAACAUGCUGCAGGUUAGUAGUUCAAGCUUCAGAGGAUAAUAAGCUCGAGUUAUGGAGCAUUCCAACAAUCGCUCCACCGAGAGAAGGUUAAGUUCACCUUAAGUUUGAAAAUAUCAAGUUCGGGCCUUUGUACGAUAAAAGAACAUUUUCAAAUUUUAUAAAGGGCCGGAUGGGGUUCGAACGUCUCACUGCUCGUGCCUCUCUUGAUGCUUAACCACUGGCAAUACAGAUUUUUCGGUGAGGCUGGCAAUUCAUCAGUUGUUACACAGUAAAGUAGCUAUAGUUGCUUCCACUCGACAAAAGUAAAGAACCAUUUUUUCUUCCUCUGCUGCGUUUCUGGCCUUCCUUAUCAUCAGUUGCUCAUCUAAUAUAUGAGCUGGAGCCGAAACUGUAUUAUUUUAACAAGCUGCGGGUUAGUAGUUCAAGCUUCAGAGGAUAAUAAGCUCGAGUUAUGGAGCAUUCCAACAAUCGCGCCACCGAGAGAAGGUUGAGGUUAGUUUUCCUCCGGUACUAUAUUACUUAAUUUUUUUUGUAUCUGCAGUAAUUUUUUAUUUUAUUUCACCAGUAAAACUUCAUUAUUUCAUCAAAUGUUUGUUCUACUUUUGAUGAUCACGUCUGGGUUACCCACAAAUUUUCUUCAGGACGUUAAACAAAGACAUACCACCCAUUGUGUAUUUAAUUUAUUGUUCAUGGCUGAGAUACCAAGAGACAUAAAGAAAAAGAACACUGUAGAAAACCAAAGGAACACCACGCCUCAUGUCCUGCUGCAAAUUCAAAAACAAUAAUUGGUGGGGCCCAGCUCAUAAUCAUUAGAUUAGUAUAAUUCUUUGUUUUCUUACCGCAAGUUCACCAGAUAUAAUUCUUUGUUUUCUUAAAACAAGUUCACCAGUUGGGGGUAAAGGUCAAGGUUACUGGGUUACUGGAUCAAGACACUGUUCACUGCCACUGGACAUGUGUUUCCACCAGUUCUGUUUCUUGACAUGGUAGUUACUGUUCAUUGAAUUUUUUUAUUUUAUUUAUUAUAAAAUUGAUAUAUAAUUGAUUUAAAUAGAUGGUAAUUAUGGACAUUUAUAGAUAAUUGAUUAGAAUGGAUAACAACAUUUGUCGAAGAGUAGCUUGAUUUGGCAUUCGGUGUCAAAAUUGUGAUUGCUAUAGCUUUUCGGAAAGGGAAUGACACUAGGAAGAGAACUCGUUGUUUCGCCACGAUGUGUGGGUUUAUCGGGCUUUUGGGAUUAUUUUGGGCCUCAAAACUGCAAUUUACUAUUUUUCUAAUAUUUUCGGUGGACAAAUUAUGAGCCACCUACAUUUAUUGACAAUUUUUCUUGAAAUGGGUGAAGCAACCACCGACAAUUUUUUUUAAAAAGAUUGAAACAACCACCGACAACAUUGAACGAACCAGAUCAUUUGCAUACUAUUCAAUCUAACGGUUAUUGUGAAUGUAAUCUUAUCUAAGAUUUUGGAUCAAAUUAUAUAGAAGUAGGUGUCGACACGUGUCUUUAUCAUCUGAUCACAUUUGAUGGGAAAAAUGUCAAUAAAUAGAGAAAGAGCCAACACUCUAUUCACACAAUCUGAUAUUGACAAAUCUCUUCCUUUUUCAUAUCUCCGGAAUUAACACAUUUCCUUUCUUUCUCUUAUUUCAACGAAAAUAUUGUGGGCUAAGAUUCGAUAGUCUCGAGAUGAAGAUUAUGAAGAGAUGUGUACGACUAAUGCCAUUGUGAUCGUAGCAGUCACUGAAGCUGAAUCUGGUAAUCAAACACAACAAUGGGGUUCUUGACCGGGUCAUGCACCGAAUGUGGAGCGAUUUAGGGAAGCAAGAGGCAAAAACAUGAUGGAAGAUUACCUUGUUGAAUGUCCAGUUUUCAAUGAUGAGGAAUUCCGAACACGCCACAGGAUGAGUCACAAUGUUUUCAACCACAUCUCCGGUGACCUUUGCCGCUAUGAUCAGUACUUUGUCCAGAAAUCAGAUGUUGCUAAGAAAGUCGGACUACUUCCGGAGUAGAAAAUGACAUUUUCCUUACGAAUGCCUAUUUACGGUGCUGGCAUAGAUCAAUGCGUUGAGUAUUUUCGGAUGGCGAAAUCUACCUCCAUCGAGGCUUUUCAACGAUUUACAAGAGGAGUCGUUAAUCUGUACUCGGCAGAAUACCUUCGCGCUCCUACUCAGGCCGAUCUCAGAAGACUGCUCGCCAAAGCUGAGAGAAGAGGUUUUCCUGGAAUGAUUGGAAGCAUCGACUGCAUGCAUUGACAAUGGAAGAAUUGCCCAACCGGUUGGGCUGGAGAAUACAACGGUCGAAAACGUAUCCCAACUAUCAUCCUCGAAGUAGUCGCAUCGUACUACACAUUGAUAUGGCACGCCUUCUUUGGAAUGUUCGGGGCAUGCAACGACCUCAAUGUCCUGGCAAAGUCCCCAUUGUUUGACGAGCUUACUGCUGGUCGAGCACCUCAGAUCCAAUUUCAAGUGAAUAACAUAAUUCACAAUUUAGGUUACUAUUUCGCUGACGGUAUCUAUCUUAGAUGAGCAACUUUCGUGAAAUCAAUUCCAAGGCCUACUCGACCUAAGGAUCUGAAGUUUUUCCAAGCUCAAGAGGGGUACAGGAAGGAUGUGGAAAGAUGUUUUGGUAUGUUACAAUCGCGCUUUAGUAUUAUUAGAGGAGCUGCUCGUGAAUGGGAUAGAGAAGACCUUCUAUACAUCAUGUUAACUUGUAUUAUAUUACACAACAUGAUAAUCGAAGAUGAAAGACUAGAGGAUAGCGAUGAGAAAUUAGAGUCCGAUGAAGAAGAGGAGAACAAUAUGAGGCCCAGGUUGGCUACGGUUUGGGAUGGACCGACCGAUGAUGACUUUGAUCCUGUUGGUAGAGAUGGUUAUUAUUUCAACGGAUUUAUGGAUCGAUAUGAUGCCAAUGGUACAAGAGCGGUUUGAAUAAUGACCAUCUCUACCAACAGGAUCAAAGUCAAUCACCGGUCGGUCCUUCCCAAACCGUAGCCAACCUAGGCCUUAUAUUGUUUUUCUCUUCUUCAUCGGACUCCAAUUCCUCAUCGCUGUCCUCUAGUCUUUCAUCCUUGACUAUCAUGUUGUGUAAUAUAAUAUAAGUCAACAUGAUGUAUCGAAGGUCUUCUCUAUCCCACCCACGAGCAGCUCCUCUAACAAUUCUAAAGCGCGACUAUAAAAUACCAAAACAUUUUUCCACAUCCUUCCUGUGCCCCUCUUGAGCUUGAGAAAACUUCAGAUCAUUGGGUCGAGUAGGCCUUGGAAUUGAUUUCACGAAAGUCGCCUAUCUAAGAAAGAUACCAUCAGCGAGAUAGUAACCUAAAUUGUGAAUUAUGUUAUUCACUUGAAAUUGGAUAUGAGGUGCUCGACUAGUAGUAAGCUCGUCAAACAACGAGGACUUUGCCAAGACGUUGAGGUCGUUGCAUGCCUCGGGCAUUUCAAAGAAGGCGUGCCAUAUCCAUGUGUUGUACGAUGCGACUACUUCGAGGAUGAUAGUAGGGAUACGUUUUCGACCUCUGUAUUCUCCAGCCCAACCAGUUGGGCAAUUCUUCCAUUGCCAAUGCAUGCAGUCGAUGCUUCCAAUCAUCCCAGGAAAAUCUCUUCUCUCAGCUUUGGCCAGCAGUCUUCUAAGGUCGGCCUGAGUAGGAACGCGGAGGUAUUCUGCCGAGUACAGAUUAACGAUUCCUCUUGUAAAUCGUUGAAAAGCCUCGAUAGAGGUAGAAUUCGCCAUCCGAAAAUACUCGGCGCAUUGAUCUGCUCCAGCACUGUAAGCAAGCAUUCGUAAGGAACAUGUCAGCUUCUGCUCCAGAAGUAGUUCGAUUUUUUUGGCAGCAUAUGAUUUCUGGACAAAGUACCGGUCAUAGUGACAAAGGUCAUCAGAGAUGCGGUUGAAAACAUUGUGACUCAACCUAUACCGUGUUCUGAAUUCCUCAUCAUUGAAAAUUGGACGUUCAACAAAGUAAUCUUUCAUCAUUUUUUUGCCUCUUGCUUCCCUAAAUCGUUCCUCGUUCGAUGCACGACCCGUCGAGAACUCCGUCGUCGUGUUUGAUUACCAGAUUCAGCUUUAGUGAUUGCUGCGAUCACAAUGACAUUAGUUGUACACAUCUCUUCAUCUCGAGACUGUCGAAUCUUAGCCCAUAAUUUCUUCAUUGAAAUGAAAGAAGGAAAGGAAAUGUGUUAAUUAAUUCGAGAGAUAUGAAAAAGGAGGAGAUUUGCCAAUAUCAAAUUGUGUGUGAAUGGAGUGCUGCAUCUUUCUCUCUUUAUUGACAUUUUCCCCAUCAAACGUUAUCAUAUGAUAAGGACACGUGUUGACACCUACUUCUAUGUAAUAUGAUCCAAAAUCUUAGAUAAGAUUACAUUUACAGUAACCGUUAAAUAGAAUAGUAUGCAAAUGAUCUAGUUCGUUCAAAGUUGUCGGUGGUUGUUUCAUUCUUUUCAAAAAAAAUUAUCGGUGGUUGCUUCACCCAUUUCCAGAAAAAUUGUCAGUAAAUGUAGGUGGUUCAUAAUUUGUCCACUGAAAAUAUUAGAAAGAUAGUAAUAAAUUGCAGUUUUGAGGCCCAAAACUAUCCCGAAAAACCCCAUACUCAUGGCAAAGAGACAAUUUCUCUUCCUAUUGUCAUUCCCUUUCCGAAAAGCUAUAGCAAUCACAAUUCUUACACCGAAUGCCAAAUUGGAAGCAAACUGAAUGCCAAAUCAAGCUACUCUUCGACAAAUGUUGCCAUACGUUUUACAUCAGUUAUCCAUAAAUGUCCAUAAUUAUCAUAUAUUUACAUCAAAUAUAUUUCAAUAAUUUUUUUUUCAAUGAAAAGUAACUGCCAUGUCAAGAAGCAGAACGGGUGGAAAUACAUGUCUAGUGGCAGUGAAUAGUGUCUUGACCCAGUGACCUUGACCUUUACCUCCAAUGGGUGAAUUGGCUCUUAGGGUCAAUGCAAGCCAAAAAAAAAAAAAAAAAGAUUGAGUUUGAGAUAAAGUCAAAAGCUGCAUCAGAUCGGUUGGAAAAAGCAAAACUAAAGUUUUGAGGAUCUCAUGUCUACAAAAAUUAACAUAAGAUUUCAAGCGAAGUGGACGACCAAGUGUGUCUUGUCCAAGCCUGCCUAUGACAUUGAUUUUGUGUUUGUUUUUUAAUGUUUGUUUCCUUGCAUCAGAUCUCUAGGUCAUGACACGGUUUAUUUAAUUUGUUUAUUGUAAAUGAGAAAUAUAUUAUGUAAAUAAAUAGUAAUGAUAAACAUUUUUGGAAAACCUAUCAACAAAGUCAAUAAGUAAUGGUUGCACGCGGGGACGGGAGUGUGGUGGUUGUUUGGCUGCUCUAUUUUUUAUGUUUUUUUCCUUGCAUCAGAUCUCUAGGUCAUGCAUGACACGAUUCAUUUAAUUUAUUUAUUAUAAAAGAAAUAUAUUAUGUAAAUAAAUAGUAAUGAUGAACAUUUUUGGGAAAACCUAUCGACAAAGUCAAUUAGUAAUUUAGGUGAAGGAAAAAAAGGCACUGAAAUUUUUUUUUGGCUAGACAAAUUAUGAGCCACCAACACUUUUAUUAUUCAAACAACCAAUGUCAAUUUUUUUCAAAAGUGGGAAGCAAUGAUGGACAACUUUGAACGAACUAAAUCACUCGCACACUAUUUAAUCUGACGGUAAUUGUCUAUGUAAUUUUAUCUAACAUUUUGGAUAAGAUUACAAAGAUUGUAAUGUUGACAUGUGUCAUUAUCAACUUAUCAUGUUUUGUAUGAAAAAUGUCAAUAAAUAGAGGAAAUUUAUGCACUUCAUUCACUCACAAUCUAAUUUUAGCAAAUCUUUAUCUUUUUCAUAUAUCUAGCAUUACACAUUUCAUCUUAUUCGCUCAUUUCAAUAAAGAGGUGGUUGAAUAAAAUUACAAAGUCCUAGGAUGAAGAUGAUGAAGUAAUGAUGACCAAUAAUGUCAUUGUGAUCGAAGUAGUUGCUGAAUCUACAAAACCAUACUCAAAU